UACGCACUCGCUGCCUAAUCUACCAAGUAGUUUAGCUUAAUCGACGGCCGCCAAGGCUGCGGCUGCGACGAGUAUCUCUCCAGGCUUUAGGCCGGUUAUGUCUGGAAUAUGAGGUAUCAUCCAAACCGGAUGCACAGAGGGACUCCUUUAAACUCUGCCAAGACACAAAGGAUAAGUUGCAGUUGGCCUGUCUCCCGGCAGCCUGCAGCCGACAAUCAAAGAGAGACUAAACGUGUAGAAAGCUGCCUGGUGCGGUGUUUGGACGGCGGUUCGAGUCCGCCCAGCUCCACCA
rnacentral:tmRNA from 1 species